CGACCUGUGGUGUAGUGGUCAGCAUUCUCGCCUCGCAAGCUAGUGGACCUUGGUUCGAUCCCAAGGCAGGUUGA